rnacentral:lncRNA from 1 species
GCAAGUACUUGAAUUGGGUUGAUCGCCCGAUCGUCCGAUCAUAGGAGCAAGAAGGAUUUUAAUGGCCCUCUUUUUCAUUCGAUGGGGUACUCUUGUAGUGUGUAGGGGUGCCAUAUGAUUAGAUCCCAUGAAAAAGAAUAUGAAAGGAAGAACUUACUUUUCUGCAAAAUCUUAGAUAUUGAAAUGCUAGGUUUGUUGUAUGUGA